rnacentral:rRNA from 1 species
UACGGAGGGAGCUAGCGUUGUUCGGAAUUACUGGGCGUAAAGCGCGCGUAGGCGGCUUUGUAAGUUAGAGGUGAAAGCCCGGGGCUCAACCCCGGAACUGCCUUUAAGACUGCAUCGCUUGAAUCCAGGAGAGGUGAGUGGAAUUCCGAGUGUAGAGGUGAAAUUCGUAGAUAUUCGGAAGAACACCAGUGGCGAAGGCGGCUCACUGGACUGGUAUUGACGCUGAUGUGCGAAAGCGUGGGGGAGCAAACAGGG